rnacentral:tRNA from 1 species
GUCGGGAUAGCUCAGCUGGNAGAGCAAAGGACUGAAAAUC